CUGGUCUAAGCUUUUAUUACAUAAAAAAUUGUUGGUUAGGUUUUAGGUUAAAUCUACUACACAAAAAACAGGAAUAUAAAAUUAUUUUCAAAUAAAAAAAAAAUAUUGUAAAAUUGUGAUCAUCUAUCUACAAUGAAUAAAAUACGAAUUAUCAAUUCAUCUCGGAAGACUGUGUCAAAGGUUUUAAAUCGUUUCAAAAUGAGCCGUAUUAAUAAGGAUAACCAUUUCAAAAAGCAACAGCCCACUCAUUUCAUUUCAAUUCCAUUUUGUUUGGGAGAAGUAAGAGAGAGAUAUCUUAAUUUCAAGAAAGAAAUUCUUGAAAAAUAUCCAGACCAGCCUGACGUCGAUGAAGUACUUUUCCAAAAUCCUAACAAGCUCCAUAUGACAUUGGGAGUGAUGAAUCUCUCAAACAAGACAGAACAAGCUAAUGCAAUAGAGAUUCUAAAACAAUGCAAAGCUGAUGUCAUUGACCGCAUUAUGGUGAGCCAGUCAUUUAAAAUGAGAAUUUGCGGAGUGGGAGUGCUGAACAAUGAUCCAAUGAAAGCUCGUGUCGUUUACGGCAAAGUGCAUGAUAGUGAGCAGCAAUCGUGGCAGUUACUCUGUGACAACAUAGUCGAUUAUUUCACCAAAGAAGGUGUAAUGGAAAAAGAAUACGACCAAGUGAAGAUGCACAUCACUCUCAUGAACACAGUAUUUCGCAGGAAGUCUUCUGUUGAAACAAUUCGGAAAAAUAGGAAGCCUAUCGAUGUUUCUUCUAUUAUCAAGGAAUAUGAAAACUACGAGUUUGGAGAAACCACCGUUGAUGCUAUACAUUUGUCUAAUAUGCGUGCCGUAUCUAGUAGUGGAUAUUACAAACCGGAGAUUAUUCUGGAUUUGAGACAGAACGAAUCCGAACUCAAGCAUAUCGAAUGAUGGAAAUCGCUCAUUAAAUUUGAGAAGAAACUUGUCUUAAUCACCGGAUCAGAAUAAGAUUGAAUCAAUUAUUCUGAUUGAUAACAUUUGCAAUAGCUUUUUCAAUUCGUCACAUUGAAAAGUGAUCAUUCAGUGACAGAGAACCUCGAACAAUGGAAUAUUGAAAAUUGUCUCUGGCAUGUGAUGCAGUGCCCUGGUUACCACAAGGAGCAAGCCAAGGUGUAGGUAGCUUCCAGGAUCCCGUAACACCGAGCAACAAUGGACAGUGUGAUCUACAACUAGUUGACUCUCUGAGGAACUUGAGUGAAGAGCUUCGAUCAGCAAUGGAGUUGACCAACCACAUUUUUGGACUACAAAUACUAGCCGCUACCUUCGACUUAUUCCUUAACAUUGUCAUCACUCCCUAUUUCUUAUACAUAGAUAUAAAAACAACUUCGAGCUCUGGUCAUGUAUUUAUGAUGACGAAAGAGGGAAAAGUAUUUUGGACCAUAGCAAAUAUAUUGAAGCUUGUUUUCUUGUUUCUUCCAUGCGCUUCUACCACUGAUGAGGCUAAUAAAACAUCAUUCAUCGUUUGCAGGCUGCUAAAUGAGGAUCUGCAGCCAGGCAUGAAGAAAGAGCUGAAAACCUUCUUGUUGCAAUUACUGUCAUCUCAUAAGAUAAUGGGCUUCUCUGCUAGUGGAAUGUUUGAAUUGAAUCUGUCAUCUAUCAUUUCCGUUGCUGGAGCUGUAACUACAUACCUGGUUGUUCUAAUUCAAUUUCAAAGUGCUUGAAUGACCGAGUGCUCUCUAGUCUCUACGAUGGUUGCUGCUUCAACCAACUAAAUUUAAAAUCAGCCACGAGAGAGUAGCCAGGAAAACAGUCAGCAAUAUAGUCUCAUUUUUGAUG
rnacentral:misc_RNA from 1 species